GGGUGGUGGCACACCAGGUUGAGCGCACAUGUUACAGUGCACAAAGACCCAGGUUCGAGUCCCCAGUCCCCACCUGCAGGGGGAUUGCUUUGCAAGUGGAGAAGUAGUGUUGCAAGUGUCUCUCUGUCUCUCCCUCUCUAUCACUCCCUUCUCGACUUCUGGCUGUCUCUAUCCAGUAAAUAAAGAUACUAAAAAAAAGAUUUAAUUUAAAAGACGACUUGACGGGAGGCCAAGCAGUGGCACAUAUGGUUAAGUGCUCCAUGAAAUGACUACUUGAACCCAAUAUACUUUGAGAGAAGAAACUGGAGUAGUAGGGUGGGAGCCAGUUAUUGCCACAGCUUUUGCUGGCCAACCAACCAUUUAUUUGGCAUGUAGAGCAUGCAUAGUCCUCCCCCAGCUUCUCUUUUAAAAAUAAAAGUUAUAUGUGAGUGAUUCCAGUUUAUGGUAAAUUGUAAACAAUGAACUUUUAUACUUUUACUGCUGUCGAGUGCUUCUUUUGCUGUUUAUUGGUUAUUCUUUGUCUAAUCAUAUAGAAUGUUAGUACAUUUUUAAAACCUCAUUCUUGAUCAAGUAACAACUGUUAGAUAGUAUUGUAUCACUUGUUAUAAUAGGAAUGUUCUUGCCCGUAUGUAAAACAUGCUGAUACUUGUUAAUAAAAUUCUAUAGAUGUAAAA